AUGCAACUGAUCAAAAUCCUGAACCAAUGUCGCCAUCUGCUGCAGUUGUUAGUUCUGCCUCCUACCAGUGGGUCAGCUUGGAUUUUAUUUAUGAUUAUGUCAUAUGACCGGCACCAGUACCGCCAACGACAAACCCUGAAGAACAAGUGGGUGUCGUUAGUGGCAGACGUCAACCAUUUGCCAACGUUUGGGUCUCGUGUGACCUGUAGUGGCAAGCAAGGUAAUGAUGGCAUGGUGUACCACUCACCAUCCUUAACUUGCACAAAGAAUUCACACUCACUAAAUGUAACACAGCAGUCAUUAUAUCAUUAA
rnacentral:rRNA from 1 species